CCUCUCGCGAGAACAACCCCGUGGCCGAGCCCGCGCAAAAGGAACAAGGAGGGGGGAAAAAAUCUUCCCACGUGCUCUGGAGGGCAAAGCUGCGGGUCGCCCGUCACGUGACGUGGAGGCACCCUCUCCAUUGGCCGGGUGGCCCUCGGCCCGUGGGAGCUUUAAACCCGAAGCUGACCUACGAACUCUCCGCUGACGUCUUGCGCGCUUCCUGACCAGAGGAUCCAAGCGGGAUUCACAUCUAUGUUUCUUAGCAGUAAAAUCUGAGUAAAAGUUACAAUCUAAACGUGUGCUGGGCUAAGGGAAGCCAAGGCCAAGGCCGGCUGCAGAUUUGUUCUGAGGCAAAGAAGAAUUCAAGGAAGAGAAGAAACGAGGCCAGUGUACAAAAGAGCCGAGGCAGCAGGUUGCCAGGUUACAGAACACAGUUUGCUCUAAGGACGCCUAGGAAAGCAUCAGAGAAACCCUCUCAUGGCCCCAGAAAAUGUUUACUUCUUGCUUGUGUUUAUAGCCCUGGUGAUUGAAUCCAGGGCCUCAGGCACACCAGGCAAGCAGUCUCAUUGCCCAGUUUUUACUUUCUAUUCUGAGAUAGUCCUACUAAAUUAACCCAAGCUGACCUGGAACUCACUCUGUACAGUAGGCGAGCCUUGAGCCCUCAGCAACCUGAGCAGCUGAGAUUACAGGUCAGACCUGACACCACAGGGACAAUUUAGUAAGUAAAUUGCUAGUGUCCUCUCCCACAUGACCUUCUGUAAUGAACGAAAAGGUGCUUUCACUUGUAGACAUGAUCCGGCGGAGCCACAAUGCUUCGGUGACAGACACAAUAGAAAAACCAUGGCCUAGCCACAUUGAUCUGUUCCUGAUCACAUCUGGCACUAAUGUCACAGUGCAUGCUGAAAUCAACUAGGUCAGCCUGGUCCUGCCUGUCAGUGAGACUGAUCACACCACACAAAGCUGGCUCCCAACUUAAUCUCUCCUUGACGUUCUGACUAUAAAGGAAGGCAUCGUCUUUCCCCAGAAGGCUCGGACCUCUACACCAGCAACCUCAGAUAGCCAAAGCAGAUUCCAUGUUGCUUCCUGUUUGAAAACUUGACUCGCCCCUUGGCUGAGUUGCUGGAUUCCUCCCUGAGCCGUUCUGCAUGAGUGAUGGACCCAGCUGUCAGUUCACUCGUAGAAAACGUGUCAAGUUCUAGUGCACAUCCUUCAGUUCUUGUCUCUGGUUUGUUUGUUUGUUAUGGCUAUACGUUAACUCAGACUCACAUAAAACAUAGAAAACUCAGAAGAGACAGUGAAACCCUCCUGUACCGUGCAUUAUUACAGCACUAUUACUUGAUAAUAACCCAAUGUAAGGAUUCUGAAAGUAGAAAAAUACAAAUUUAUAACCCAUUUGAAUUAUUAAAAGCUUUUAAAAUCGAA